GUACAAUGGACAAAUUUGUUUACAAUUUGUUGGAGGAAUGUGGACUGGAGGAGUUCAAGGACGCUUUCUUAGAUGAUGAAGUGACAACAGCUGCUCUGCUGGCACUCCCUUUCAUUUUGCCAAUGGGAACCAGAAAGACGGGCAAAGGCAGGACCACACGGGCUGUCCUUGAUGAUGCAAGGUGGGCACCAACAUUCCACACUACCUAGAAAUUCUACAGCAGAAUCAGCCAUUUGCCCUUAUGUUUGGUAGUGGGGCCACAUGUGAGCAGUCCUUCGUUGUGUUUGAAAGACAGGCUGCACAGUGUAAAUCUGUCUUGCACGCAGUUGACAUGGUGGUAAAGGCAACGUACGUCCUUUGGUGUGACUUUCCAUGGGAGCUGUCUCAUGUAUUUCAAUUCCUGGUUGAGACAGUCUACAAGAUUGAUACAGGGAAGCCUCCAUCAGCUGCGUGCAGGACAAUGCGAGCUUUUCUAUUAAAUAGUGAGCAUUGAAAGGUUUAGGAUUAACUGGGGACUGUAGCCCUUUUGUAAAUCAUACUUUUAACUAUGUGAAAUAUCACUUUGACAGGAAAGGAAAUGUUAUUUUAGAGCUAUCCUGAAAAUUAUAUGCAAUUCUGGUCCCCUUUUCUUGACUUUUAGAGCAAAAAUAAUAAUAAAUGUUCAGCAGGGUGUUUAUUCUCACAUACAGACAGGUGUUAUAAGGGGGGGGGGGGGGAUUUUGCUUGUAUCUCGAAAACUAUGAUUCGUAUGACCGUGGGAUUUCAUACAUAUAACUUUAUUAUCAUUAAUUUGCUAUGUUUACAUCAAAUAUGAAUACAUCUGAGCAUUAAUGCAAAAGGGCUACAGUUCCUUUAAAGGACUAUGAAAGUAUUUCAAUAAAAUAAAGGAAGUUCAGUUACAUUUUGCGCAUGCCCAUGAAAUUGCGUACUUCUGGGUCAUGUCAUUGGAGUACUUAUUUCACUGUUUUUGACGCGAUGUGAACUGAUUAUAUGCGAGGGGUUAGUGCCAGUAUUUUAGGCAGACAGAUCCUCAUAUUUUGUGAAGGAAACGACAUCAAACUGACUCGACGAGCAUGUACUUAAUGCCAUGGAAUUACAUUGUUUUUGUGAACGGAAAUCUGUGGCGUCAUACUUUAGCACCCACAUAAUUACCCUAUUGCUUUGUACACAUAUUAAAAGCCUGAAAUUCAGGACAGUCGGGUGAUUAUAUAUGUAAAGUCAAUUUUACAAAACUUGGUGAAAGUAGUCUAAAAUAACAAAAAUAAAGUACCAAUUUUUUGCACAAAACUCUACGGCACUCGUGAACUUCAAAAUUACGGCCACUAGGUACAACGUCAUUAUCCCCGCCAAGUUUUGGGGAUGACGCAAAAUGCAUUUUUUUUUCAAGAGUGGAACACAAAUCAGUAAAAACAGUUUUAAAGGAUGUAGAAAUUACGUUUGUAAAUGCAUGAAUUUUGCAAGAUAUGUAUAUUCCUCUCCUAUUUAAUUGAUAUUUACAUCUGAAAGCCAUUUAUUUUCUUAAAAUAUCACACCUUAAUAAAGGUACAAUUCAACAUCAUGUCAAACUCUCAAGAGGAUGGGUGGAUUAUAUCAGUUUAAUCAUCUUGGCAAGCCCCACUGCACUACUUGUAGCUACUUGCUCCCUCUAUAUAGAAAACAAUGCCUAAGCGGUGCAUGUUGGUCCCCAUGAUCCUCUUUUUCUUAUGUUAAUUGAGAGCUGAGUUGAUGAGAUAACCACCUGUCAGUGACCAUGCUGGGAGGUCUAAUCCCUCCUGGCCAAACUAGUGCAGAGGGGCUUAAAGAUAGAGCCUUGGGGGAUGCAUUGUUUUACACUGCCGAAUGAUGCAAGGGUAUGCAUAUUAUUAUUACUUUAUUACUGAGAUGUAUGAAUAAUUACCUGGAAGACUAAUUACAGCAAAUUGUAUCUGUAUUAAUUUCAUGGAUCCUAUUCAUUUUAGCCUACUGCGUUAUUAUUCAAGUUCAGGAUUGCAUAAUUUCAAAAGAAAGUGUAGGAAAUUUCCCCUAAGAACAGUGCAAAAAUGAAGAAAAUCGGAUACAAAAUAGUAGUUCUGACAUUUUGAAAAUUCACAUUUUUUCCUCAAACCUUUCUUAGGUAAUGUGCAAGGCUCAGAUCAAGGGUACACUUAGAUUGAACACUGGGAAAUUGUUCAAUUAUCCAAAACCAUGAGACCCAGAAACAAAUUAGCAUUUUUAUAUUACAAAGUAUCAUUUGGGAAAGCUCAAAACAAGGUUUCAGCUUCAUUGAGUUCAAAUUAAAGAUUUUAGAGCAAUUUUAUGAUGAAAAAAGGCCUAUUUUCAGCACUUUUAAUGUUACAUUCAAAACAUGCACUAAUUGGUUACCAGAUUUUUACUAAUGGGAUGCAAAACUUAUGAUUUUUUUUCAUCUUGAUGUAGAAUCUAUGUAAUAAUUAAAAUUUCUGUUGAGUUAAUUCCUAGUAUUUUACUUUCUUAUUCUAUUUACA